GUUUCUGUAGUGAAGUGGUCAGCACGUUUGCCUCAUGUGCAAAAGGACAACGGUUCGAAACCAAGCAGAAACA
rnacentral:tRNA from 1 species